rnacentral:lncRNA from 1 species
AUGUUUAUAUUUUAUCGCAUAGGUCCCUUGAAAUUUUGAGGUUUCUUAGAGAUGGCCCUAUUUAUUAUCGUGUUUUUUUCAUUUAUAUUAUAUGAAUGUAUGAUAAACAAAAUUUGGGAUACCCCUAAAUUUUUCUUUUAGAUCCGCCACUGAUCAAGAGCUGUGAUGCCUCUUCAUGCCUAAUACGAUAUAUUAAGGUUUAUCAAGAGCCAUUAAAUAAUUGUCAUGACUCUUUAUACCCUAUAUGACACACAAGGCCGUUCCAAUGUUUUUGAAGGCACUAAGCGAACUACAAAGUCAGGGCCCUAUUGAAUUGGUAUAAAGAAAAUCACCAAUUCAGAUUGAGAUUUGAGACAUUGAAUAACCAUAGCGAUGAUUUUUCUCAAUUUCUGCCUAAUUUCGUCCAAUCCGCAAUCAGUUUCACAUUAGUUAUUUAAAAGGCGUCGCAAGUAACGAGGUUUGGUGUGUUGAAGCGUGCAAAGACAAUGUGGAUAAAUUAAAAUUUAUGUAAAUAAAAUAAAAUUUGGAGGCCCUUGUUUUGGAUGGCCUUAGGACUUAGCCUAGGUUGAUAAGCCUAACGGACCGGCCCUAAUGACACAUCAAGACAUAAAUGACUCAUUACAAACUAAUCUAACUAUUUAAGAACUAAUAUGACCUGCUAAGACCCUACUGUCCCAUGAAUGAGAUAUAAUAACUCUUUAGACCAAACAUUACCCAUUACAACUUCAUUAAGAGCUAUGAUAACUCUUAACAUUAAUUAAAUGGUUGUAUUAAGACAUAUAUUACUCAUUAUAACUCAUUACAAAUUAUAUUGAUCAACCAGACUCAAACUUAUCAAUCAUGAACAUAAUUCAUAAACCUAACACAUGAUUUUAAUCAAAUAAAGUCAAACUUGAUCAACUCAAUAGUUCAUUAAAGGAUUUAUGGAUAUAAAUGAUUCAUACCAAGAACUAGUUUUUCAAAUGAGUAUUUAUUGUCUUUCUAAUUCUUUAGAAAGUAAAAAAGAAAUUUUAUUUUUAAAUAAUUGUUUCUUCUUUUGUAUAUUUGUUAAAUUAUUUUAAAAAAUCUAAGUUUGAUUUUAAUUUUCCUCUCCCAAUUCAACCUAGGGAUAACCAGUACCAUCACUGAACCAUGUCAUACCAAGGCAUUUUCCGUAUCAAUUUUAUACCCACUUUUGAGAUUUUUGGGAUCGGCACUUUCGGUUCAAUACGGUAUCGGUAUUUUGGCUUGAUUUGCCUUCAAUAUCGUACCAUACCAUACUGAUGACUUUCAGCACUGAUACCGAUACUCAUUUUUUACGGUUCCCUUCUAAUUUUAUCCGUAUCCCCAACCUAAUUUUAAAUCUAACGGGGUGUUUGGCUUAACUUUUCCAAACUUCUUAUGACUUUUUGUAAAAGUUAACAAGUCACAAUAAAGU